rnacentral:rRNA from 1 species
UACGUAGGGGGCAAGCGUUGUCCGGAAUCAUUGGGCGUAAAAGCGCGUGUAGGCGGUUCAGUAAGUCUGCUGUGAAAGUCCAGGGCUCAACCCUGGGAUGCCGGUGGAUACUGCUGGGCUAGAGUACGGAAGAGGCGAGUGGAAUUCCCGGUGUAGCGGUGAAAUGCGCAGAGUAUCAGGAGGAACACCAAUGGCGAAGGCAGCUCGCUGGAACGGUACUGACGCUGAGGCGCGAAAGCGUGGGGAGCGAACAGG